rnacentral:rRNA from 1 species
UAACUGAAGAGUUUGAUCAUGGCUCAGAUUGAACGCUGGCGGCAGGCUUAACACAUGCAAGUCGAGCGGGGAUAGGGUGCUUGCACCUGAUUCCUAGCGGCGGACGGGUGAGUAAUGCUUAGGAAUCUGCCUAUUAGUGGGGGACAACGUUCCGAAAGGGACGCUAAUACCGCAUACGUCCUACGGGAGAAAGCAGGGGAUCUUCGGACCUUGCGCUAAUAGAUGAGCCUAAGUCGGAUUAGCUAGUUGGUGGGGUAAAGGCCUACCAAGGCGACGAUCUGUAGCGGGUCUGAGAGGAUGAUCCGCCACACUGGGACUGAGACACGGCCCAGACUCCUACGGGAGGCAGCAGUGGGGAAUAUUGGACAAUGGGGGCAACCCUGAUCCAGCCAUGCCGCGUGUGUGAAGAAGGCCUUUUGGUUGUAAAGCACUUUAAGCGAGGAGGAGGCUUACCUGGUUAAUACCUGGGAUAAGUGGACGUUACUCGCAGAAUAAGCACCGGCUAACUCUGUGCCAGCAGCCGCGGUAAUACAGAGGGUGCAAGCGUUAAUCGGAUUUACUGGGCGUAAAGCGCGCGUAGGUGGCUAAUUAAGUCAAAUGUGAAAUCCCCGAGCUUAACUUGGGAAUUGCAUUCGAUACUGGUUAGCUAGAGUAUGGGAGAGGAUGGUAGAAUUCCAGGUGUAGCGGUGAAAUGCGUAGAGAUCUGGAGGAAUACCGAUGGCGAAGGCAGCCAUCUGGCCUAAUACUGACACUGAGGUGCGAAAGCAUGGGGAGCAAACAGGAUUAGAUACCCUGGUAGUCCAUGCCGUAAACGAUGUCUACUAGCCGUUGGGGCCCUUGAGGCUUUA